AUUGAACGCUGGCGGCAGGCCUAACACAUGCAAGUCGAACGAGUGGCGGACGGGUGAGUAAUGUCUGGGAAACUGCCUGAUGGAGGGGGAUAACUAAUGGAAACGGUAGCUAAUACCGCAUAACAUAGGAUGAGCCCUGAUGGGAUGAGCUUGUUGGUGGGGGAACGGCUCACAAAGGCGACGAACCCUAGCUGGUCUGAGAGGAUGACCGGCCACACUGGAACUGAGACACGGUCCAGACUCCUACGGGAGGCAGCAGUAGGGAAUAUUGCACAAUGGGCGAAAGCCUGAUGCAGCAAUGCCGCGUGUGUGAAGAAGGCCUUCGGGUUGUAAAGUUCUUUCAUCGGGGAGGCGUUACCCGCAGAGAAAGCACCGGCUAACUCCGUGCCAGCAGCCGCGGUAAUAC
rnacentral:rRNA from 1 species